rnacentral:rRNA from 1 species
AGUGUAUUGGACAACCAUGGCGUUCACGGGUAACGGAGGAUUAGAGUUCGAUUCCGGAGAGGGAGCCUGAGAAACGGCUACCACAUCUAAGGAAGGCAGCAGGCGCGUAAAUUACCCAAUCCUGACUCAGGGAGGUAGUGACAAGAUAUAACAACGCGACUAAAAAUCGCGAUUGUAGUGAGGGUAUUCCAAACCGAACCACUAGUACGAUUGGAGGGCAAGUCUGGUGCCAGCAGCCGCGGUAAUUCCAGCUCCAAUAGCGUAUAUUAAAGUUGUUGCAGUUAAAAAGCUCGUAGUUGGAUUUCUGGGAGGGCGCCAAUGUCCGCUCGUUCGCGUGUGCAGCGGCGCCCUUCCAUCCUUCUGUUAACGUUUCUUGGUAUUCAGUUACUGGUUUCGGGCUCAGAUAUUUUACCUUGAGAAAAUUAGAGUGUUCCAGGCAGGCUUGCGCCGGAAUACAUUAGCAUGGAAUAAUAGAAUAGGACUUUAGUCUCCUUUGUUGGUUUGAGGGACUGAAGUAAUGAUUAAUAGGGAUAGUUGGGGGCAUUAGUAUUUAAUUGUCAGAGGUGAAAUUCUCGGAUUUGUUAAAGACUAACUUAUGCGAAAGCAUUUGCCAAGGAUGUUUUCA